rnacentral:snoRNA from 14 species
UUGCAUCGAAAAGGGACGGGGUUUCCUACUGGAUUGUUCCGUAUAAUUUUGGUGCGAAAGCAUAGAGAGCCGCAGUGUUACUCUUCAUCACAGAUUUUGUGAACGGAGAGUGUCAAGCGGUUCCCACAUUC